rnacentral:tRNA from 1 species
GGCCUAAUGGCUCAGCUGGUAGAGAGUGCGCGUACAAAGCGUAGGCGGUGUCCAUGCGUGGGUUUGAAUCCCACCGAGGUUA